rnacentral:rRNA from 1 species
AUUGAACGCUGGCGGCAUGCUUUACACAUGCAAGUCGAACGGUAACAGGCCGCAAGGUGCUGACGAGUGGCGAACGGGUGAGUAAUGCAUCGGAACGUGCCCAGUCGUGGGGGAUAACGCAGCGAAAGCUGUGCUAAUACCGCAUACGAUCUAUGGGUGAAAGCGGGGGACCGUAAGGCCUCGCGCGAUGCGAGCGGGCGGUGUCAGAUUAGGCAGUUGGUGGGGUAAAGGCCAACCAAGCCAACGAUCUGUAGCUGGUCUGAGAGGACGACCAGCCACACUGGGACUGAGACACGGCCCAGACUCCUACGGGAGGCAGCAGUGGGGAAUAUGGCACAAUGGGCGCAAGCCUGAUGCAGCCAUGCCGCGUGUAUGAAGAAGGCCUUCGGGUUGUAAAGUACUUUCAGCGGGGAGGAAGGCGGUGAAGUUAAUAACUUCACCGAUUGACGUUACCCGCAGAAGAAGCACCGGCUAACUCCGUGCCAGCCGCCGCAGUAA